rnacentral:lncRNA from 1 species
GGUAGUAAUCUUUUUUUUUUCUAUCUUCUCAGAUCCAAGCAAAUUUUUUUAUCUCAAUGUUUUAUUUUUUAUGGUUUUGCUAAUGGGUAUUUGGAUCUUUUGGGGUUUCUUUGUUUUUGUUAACAUAGUCAAAAUCCUUGUACUUUUUAUGUUCCUAAUUUCUGUUUUGCAUGUUUCUGUAGAUGCUUUUUGUUUUUGUUCAACGUUUCUGUAGAUGCUUUGAGUUGGGUUUUGUUGAUUAUUCAUUGCUUUAUUUGGAAUUUGUAUUGAUGGGUUUGCCUUUGUACUUCUGGUUUUACGGUUUGGUGAGGCUUGGUGUUAAUGGAGCUUCAUUGAGAAUUGACGAUGGUGGAGGCGUAUGAGCGGCGCCGCUUCGGACUUUAGCGGCGGUGACUUGAACGGAGUUUGAUGAUUGCAAUCGUCAACCACGAUGGUGGACUUGGGAGAAAAAAAAACAGAUGAAAAACUAGAAGGAAAGAAUGAAAAUUGAAAAAGUUAAUCAAUUGAUUAAUUAUUAAUUAUUUUUAAUUAAUCCUAAUUAAAAGAAACUGAAAAAAUUAAAUUAAAUAACCUUUAAACAAUUUUGGACACAUGGCAUAAUUUUAUUGGUCGUUAAUAAAAGUGUAAAAUUUUAACACUAUGAGUCAAGCACGUAUAAAAGGUAGGAAGUUAGAUUUAUUAUUUUCAAAUUUACAUGUAAUUAUAUCUAAAAAAAAAAAGUUUACUUACAAGUAACAACAAGUUCUCGAGUUCUGUACCAAUGUAUAUUAUCUCAUA